CCUACGGGUGGCAGCAGUAGGGAAUAUUGGACAAUGGGUGAGAGCCUGAUCCAGCCAUGCCGCGUGCAGGAAGAAGGCCUUUGGGUUGUAAACUGCUUUUGCCAGGGGAUAGGUACCUGGUGAAUAAGCCACGGCUAACUACGUGCCAGCAGCCGCGGUAAUACGUAGGUGGCAAGCGUUGUCCGGAUUUAUUGGGUUUAAAGGGUGCGUAGGCGGUCCUAUAAGUCAGUUGUGAAAUACGGCAGCUUAACUGUCGAGGUGCAAUUGAUACUGCAGGACUUGAGUACAGACGAGGUAGGCGGAAUUGACGGUGUAGCGGUGAAAUGCUUAGAUAUCGUCAAGUACACCGAUAGCGAAGGCAGCUUACUAGACUGUACUGACGCUGAGGCACGAAAGUGUGGGGAUCAAACAGGAUUAGAUACCCCAGUAGUC
rnacentral:rRNA from 1 species